rnacentral:lncRNA from 1 species
GGGAACCUCCAUAUGCCGUGGGAUCUGCCCAAAGAAAUAGCAAAAAAAAACAAAGAAAAAAAAAAAAAAAAAAAAAAAAAAAAAAAGUAGUGCAUUUGGAUAUCAAAUUAAUUUGGUUCAAAUCAAGGGUAAAUUUGAAUACUGAGCAGGCCUGGAAAUGAUAUUUAAAGCUCCUUUUCCCUCUUGGGUGACCCAAUAUACCAAAAGGACUUAACAGAUGGAGAUUUAAAAUGGUGGUUGCAGAAGAGGGCACUUCUUUCACUCCCUCCCCAACUUUCCUCUUUAAAGAAGUUCCUGAAUUGACUGCAUUUAGAGUAGACAAUCAUAGUAAACAAUAUUUUGGAAACAAUGUGGUCUAGUUGGUGUUGAAAACUUUAAACUUUUAAAUGUUCUCUUUGUGAAGGAAUUUGCUAAUUAUCCAGCAGAUGUUUUUUCUUUGUAUCCCGUAUGCGUCAUAGUUUCCUUAAAAUUCUCUCCCUCCCUCCCUUUCUUUUUCUCUGGCUCUAGCUCCCUCUUGUUCUCUUUUUUAAAGCAGGGACGAGAGGGGCAAGGAAUGGCGUAAAGCUUAUAUCCUUCUGGGAAAAAAGGCUAUGCUUCAGAGUCAAAGUCCUAAGGUCCUGUCUUGAUGAGAAACCCUCUUCCUUUAAUUAGAACCUCUCUCCUAGAAGAUUCUCUCCCAACUGAGUGACUCCUGUGUCCUGGAACUAAUUUUAUUAAAGUGGGUUGCAACAUUAAAUUGUUUGUUUGGAUUUCACCACUCUACCUAAACUUGCAACCCCCUGUGAACAUAAUCAAAUAUUGGAUUAUAAGUCCCUGUACCUUUUUUUUUUUUUUUUUUUCAGGGGAUUUAAAACAGAAUAUUCCUUUACAGUUCUGGCAAUGAUCAGAGAACUGUCAAAACAACUCAGGAUCUUGGCUGGGAAUUGAUGUUUUUAUCCUGGAAAGAAAAAAAGUACCCAUUAAUAGAACUCUAUAAAAUAAGCAGCAGAAUAUUAAAGUCACCUAGUCAUUGUGUGUUCAUCUGAAUCAGUAUUUUGUGCUACUCAGUGAAUAUCCGUUUUUGAAACAAAAGUCAAAUGUCUUUGUUUUGAUUAUGUCAUUCCCUUGUCUUUCAUAAUAUGAUUGAAGACUCACUAUGAAUUUAUUAUUGAUGGAUUGAUUGAUUUUUGUCCUUACCUAUGGCAUGUGCAAGUUUCUGGGCCAGGGAUUGAACCCGCACCACAGCUGGAACCUGCGCCACAGCUGCAGCAACGCCAGAUCCUUGACUUAUUGCCCCACAUGUGAGCUUCCAUAUUAUUAAUUUUUUUUCUUUUUCCUUUUAUCUUUUAGGGCUGGCACCGUCAGCAUAUGGAAUUUCCUGGGCUAGGAGUCAAAUAAGAGAUGCAGCUGCUAGCCGACACUACAGCCAUGGCAAUGCUGGAUCCAAGCAACAACGCCGGAUCCUUAAUCCACUGAGCAAGGCUAAGGAUUGAACCCAUGUCCUCAUGGAUACUAUCUGGGUUUGCUACUGCUGAGCCACAAUGGGAACUCCCAAACUGUCAGUUUUAAGUGAUGUCCAAGAAGAAAAGAGGAAACAGGAAAUUGAGGGGAAAUGUGGACCGGUGUCAAAUCAAUGUUCUAACCACCCAUGUCCAGUAGUUCCAUCAGAGAAAGGACAACACCCUACAAAGUGGAAUUUGCCUGGUAUUGACCAUCAGUGAAGUAAACCCAAGUUCACAGCCAUCAGGAGGAGCCCACAGAGCUGAGAAAGGACUGCAAGGGAGACAUCCACAAACACUCUGACAGUGAGCUCUAUGAAGACGAGACUUUGUCUGGAUUAAAGAUCAGUUCACUUCUGAGUUCCCGGAGUUUAUCACGACCUGCCUAAAGAUGGCCUUGGUUGACUGAAUGAAUGAAGCCAAACUAGGUGCUCUUGCAAAUCCUGUUCCUCAUACUCUGUCUUGGUGGCAAGUGGGUUCAAUAGAUGACUUCCCUGCGGUGAGAGGCUAAGAGAGUGGGAGGAAUGUCAUUUUUCAGUCGACAGAAAUAAGAGAGACCGCCCUGGCUGCCAUGUUGAGACUAGCUUGCCAUGGAUAAGAGAAGAAUCAAGAAGACCAGGUAAGAAGCAAUCGAGGUGCUUCUGGUGUGAGGUGCUUCUGGUGUAAAGUGCUUAGCUGGGGUGGCAGCAGAGAAAGGGGUGGGAGUGGUCAGCCUGAGUCCACUCUGGCACAUGGCACUGACGGAGCUUGCUGAUGGUGGGAGGUGGGUGUGAGGGGAAGAGAGGAGACAAAGAUGAAGUCAUCCAAGGACUAGUGGGCUGAGCAAUGGGAAGGGUGGAGUUGCCAUCCACUGAGUUUGUAUUUCUCUGUUUCUGGAACUCAGUGGUAAACUUCUGGCAGACAGGAACCAGCGUCUUGUGUAUUCUGUAACCUUCAUACAAACAUGAUCAAAAUUAUGCUAAAUGUAAAAUGAAGUUUAAAGUUCCCCUUAUAGGGUCUUUUCUGGCCCACAGAGGGGUCUCAACGUUGACCUUGGGGCCAGCCAACCAAUGAUCGCUCUCCUUUCCAUGCUGUGUGGAACCCACUUGCUCCUCUGGUGGUGACUUUUGGAUGGCCACGGGGGUAGGUUUCUGCCUAUCUAGUCAAACUAUUAUUUAACCCUUCAUAUGGGUCCAGGUACUUUCCUGAACAGGAGAAUUUCUAGAGAGAGGGAUGGAGGCGGAGGGUGGGAAAUCAGCUCUCAUCCCCUUUAACCAUCUUGUUCUCUUCUUGCUGCAAGACUCCAACAAGGUGAACUUAACCCAGAGGAUACAAGGAAAACAUUUUUGAAGCUUUUUAUAGGGCCGGUUCAGUAAUGUAAAUGUCUGCUUCUGUCCAGGGAUAAACAAUAGGGAGUAAUUGGUACCGAUGCAGCAAACCAGAGUCCCAGGCAAUUGCUGCUGUGUAGAACUGGAGGUGCAAUAAACCAGGCAUGUGUGUGAGCCUAUUGCAGCCCAGGAACCCCUCCUUCCCCAGCCCUGGCCUGAGCAUCAGAGAAGUCCCUUUAAGACCUUCCCUUUCUUCUCAUUGUCCUGUUCUUCCCAGAGUCCUCUCUUGGAUCCAUUCAUUGUUGGUGCUCCUUAUGCACCAUCCUGCAUUAUUUCCACAUUCUUACACCCCCUUAAGAAGUACCUGGGUCCUAGAUACUUUCAAGCCUCUAUGUCUUGCCAACUGUUUCUGUAAGUGCUGCAGGUGUUUGUCUAUUGCUAUCAAGUGCAUACCGUAAGUUAAAGAUACUUUAUUGCUACAAAAUGUUAACCAUCAUCUGAGCCUUCAGCAAGUUACAGUAGUAAUAUCAAUGAUCGCUGAUCACAGAUCACCUUAGCAAAUAUAAUAAUAAUGAAAAAGUUUGAGAAUUACCGAAAUGUAACACAGAGACACCUAGCGAGCCACUGCUGUAGGAAAAAAUGGCACUAAUAAACUCGCUGGAUGCCACAGCGUUGCCAUAAACCUUCAAUUUAUAAAAUUCAAUAUUGUCAAAGUGUAAUAAAAUGAGGUAUGCCUGUAUUUCAACAGUGCUUCUCCUUUAGGGUCUUUCCUUGUAAAUUACUGAAACCUCUAGGGGUUCAACCCAAAGGUUCUCACUUAGAUUAUUUACAUAAAGAUGUUCAUAAUCCCAUGGAAUAACAAAUCUUUAUUACAAAAUUGAGUCUCGUGUUUAGGAAUCUUUGGAGAAGGAAGUUUAAAUACCAAGAAAGAUAUAUUAAGAAAUAAAUUGUGGGAAGAUCGAGGGAAAUUGAGGGGAAAAAAAUCCACUGAUGAGCAUAUUUCAAUAGAGCUUUGACCUACUGGUAGCUCAUCUCUGCACAGCCUCUUCCCAUAGCCCUUCCUACAUGAGCGCCUCCUCCAGGAAGUGGGGCUGUUUGUUAUCAAGCACGUCCAUGUGUUCUUUCUCAGUAAACCAAAAGAUUUCCAAUUUAUCGGAGGGAUUUCAACUCUAGCAAAAUGUUCAGUGUCCCCAAAGCUAUUCAAUACUCUUCAUUAUUCUUAUAACGAUCAGUAGAACACCCUCAUUUAUGUUUAUAUUUUUCCAAAGAUAAAAAUUGGAGCAAUUGGAGGAGGGGGAGAGAUUCAUGGAUACAAAUGGCUUGAUCUUUUCACCUGUUUCACUGGCUCUUUUUUUGAAUGUUGACUUAAUUUUAUACAUCUAGGUAUUCCCACUUCACCCAUUUUGUGGGUGCUUCAGGUGGCCCAAAUAGGAAGGGCCUAUUUAUCGAUUUUUUCUUCUGUGAAUGUGGCCACUGUCCUCUUAGCCUGUGAACAUAAGGUCUGCCGUCCUCUUGCUCUUACUGGUGGGGCAUGGGGGAGGGGUUGUACCCUGAAGAGGCAAAAAUCAUUUCAAAUCCCCUGAAGACCAAAAUAUCAAGAAUUAGAGGGCAAUGUAAUGGCUGGGAGAGGGAAGAAAGGACAGAAGCAAAUAGUUGACAGGUCUCUAAAAUUUUAAUUUUCAGCCCAAAGAAUUUCUUGAAAGGCACCUUUGAGGGGGAGGGCUCAUUGAUUUUCUUUUCUUUUUUUUUGACUUUUUAGGGCCGCACAUGUGGUAUAUGGAAGUUCCCAGACUAGGGGUGGAAUCAGAACUGUAGCUGCUUGCCUACAAC